rnacentral:tRNA from 1 species
GCGGCUUUAGCUCACUUGGGAGAGCGCCAGACUGAAGUCCACUUCAGGAACCGUAAUAGAUUCGUCUGUUUAUCUGGAGGCACUGUGUUCGAUCCACAGAAGCCGCA